ACGAUGGAGAGUUUGAUCCUGGCUCAGGAUGAACGCUAGCGGCAGGCCUAAUACAUGCAAGUCGGACGGGUAGCAAUA
rnacentral:rRNA from 1 species